AGGAAACCAUCUGGAUUUAGCAACAGGCUACCUCGGGAAAUGCAAUUGCCCACCGUCAAAGUCUUCAACUUAGUUAGCUGCCAUACAUCCGCGGGAAUUUCAGGAACCCCCCAGCAAUUCUCAAAGCAUAGGUCCUCCAGGUGUUUAAGCUCCAGAAGAUUGGGGACCCAAGGGGACGAUAUGGUUAGGCGUUUUAAGCUUGUAGGGAGCAUAGGUACUUCUUCGCCUCGCCAGGCCACUUUCCCUGUUUUAAUCUCUUCAAGUUUUAGAAGCUUUCCCAUGUCACCUGUUAAUGAUAUUUCAGUUUGCUGAAGCCUGACCACUUUCAGAUUCCUAAAAUUACUGAUGUUGAGCUCCCCCUUCACUUCUUCACAAUCAGUCAGAUCUACCGACUCUAGGCUCACACAUUGGGAAAGGUCCGGCACUCUUUCGAACUCAUAACAGCCACGUAGGUUUAUAACUUUCAGCUUGUUUGCCACCUGCAUCAACAGAAACACAAUCAAUUUAAUCAAUCAGGUUCGGAUAGGAGUCCAGGUACACAAAUGGGCUGCAGCAAGUACCGGAACUUAAUCUUCAGCAUACCUUUAAUCUCUUCCAUCCACUCCAAUCAUCAGGUACCCCACAAUCUGGUAAUUCAAGAAUUACAACAUUCUUCAAGUUGAAAUCAGAGGGGAAACCACGGCAACGAGACAGCCUAAGCCAUCGGACAUUAGGAAGCAUUUCACUGAAGUCCCCAGGCAGCACAGUAACGUUCACGUCAAGGUACCUUAACCUUGACAACUUCUCAAAAUGUUUGCUCACAAUGUCAUGUCCCCAUGGCAUCCUAACCCUAAGCAUUUCGACUCGAUCAGUUGCCUGUCAAAUGAUGAAUUAAAUGCAUUCAGAAUCGACUCGUUCACAUCCAAAUGCAAAUCAUAGUACAUAAUUUUACUAUUGUCUGUAAAUGACAUGAAACUUUUAAGUACAUACCUCCCCAUUUGUCAGCAUGUUCAUGACAUCCAUGCUAGACCAUAUCCUGCUGCGCUUGGAUGGACAUUCAAUAUCUUCCUUGGUAACGAUGGCUCUACCAAGAUCUCUGAGAUGAUCGUGCAUCCAGAACUGAUUGAUUUCAUCAAUUUUUAUCAAGGAUCUAAGAACAAGAGUCCUAAUCCCACUUUCUGGAUAAAAUUUACAAUCGCUCCACAUAUGGACGGGCGAUUCUUUAUCCUCUCCGAUGAAAAAGCAGGCAAUGUCGAGAAAGAUUUGUUUUUCCUCAUAGGUCAACUCAUUAUAGCUAAUCUUCAAGCUCUGCUGCACCUUAUCAAUAGUAGUCAAACCCUCUCUCCACUCAACGACAAGGCAGGUUAGAGAUGAUGGGAGGAAACCAUCUGGAUUUAGCAACAGGCUACCUCGGGAAAUGCAAUUGCCCACCGUCAAAGUCUUCAACUUAGUUAGCUGCCAUACAUCCGCGGGAAUUUCAGGAACCCCCCAGCAAUUCUCAAAGCAUAGGUCCUCCAGGUGUUUAAGCUCCAGAAGAUUGGGGACCCAAGGGGACGAUAUGGUUAGGCGUUUUAAGCUUGUAGGGAGCAUAGGUACUUCUUCGCCUCGCCAGGCCACUUUCCCUGUUUUAAUCUCUUCAAGUUUUAGAAGCUUUCCCAUGUCACCUGUUAAUGAUAUUUCAGUUUGCUGAAGCCUGACCACUUUCAGAUUCCUA
rnacentral:lncRNA from 1 species